CGCCCGCAUGGAGGACGACCUCGACCGCAUCGCACGCGGCGAGGCCCAGGCCGUGCCGUGGCUGCGCCGCUUCUACUUCGGUGAGGGCGAC
rnacentral:tRNA from 3 species